rnacentral:lncRNA from 1 species
GUGUACAAAGUAAGAGAAGUUCUGCCAUGAAAAUUUUGGAUGGGGGGAAAAAAACCCCAAAACAAAAACCCAACUUCUUUGGUCUUGAGUAGAAAAAAUUCACUUCUCUCCUUGGUUCAUUUGUUUCCUUGCCAGGCAAACUCUUGGGGGAACAUUGGUGUGUAUGUGGGGUGGGGAUGCAUGAUUCACUUGUUUUGAAGUGUAUUCAUUGAUAUCUCCUUGGGAUAUUUCAAAUAAAACAGAAAACAAGUUUCUCUCUGAAAACAAAGGAUUUUAGUUUGUGUUAGUCUGGUACUAUGUCUUUUAAGAAUUUUCCUUUCAUUCUUCUGAUUGCUAUCAAAUAUUGUUGGUCGUAUGGUAUAUUAUAAAGCGUUAAGAACUGGUUUUCAUGUUGUUUGCAGUUUUGGUGAGGGACAUUUAAAGGUCCGCCCAAGCAGACCAGACAUGAAUGUGAGUAUCUGAGGUCUGGGUGGGAGUAGGUCACUAGCCUGGGCUCCCUCUCUCCCUCCCAUCCCCUUAUUACCACAACAAGUUUCUUCCAGCCUUGCCAGUCCACGUGGGGUUCAUUUGCAUAGCUCUGCUUAUUUUGCUCUUUCACUUUUGGGUACCUCCUUGAGGAAAUUUUCUCUGGUUUCUCCUCAGAAACCAUGGAAAAAUAUCCUCUCCAUAUCAUCUCUAUUUCUCAGUAUCAACGUC